UUUUUUUUUUUUUAAAAUUUUUUUU
rnacentral:misc_RNA from 1 species